UACAGAGGUCUCAAGCGUUGUUCGGAUUCAUUGGGCGUAAAGGGUGUGUAGGUGGCGCGCUAAGUCGGGUGUGAAAUUUCGGAGCUUAACUCCGAAACUGCAUUCGAUACUGGCGUGCUUGAGGACUGGAGAGGAGACUGGAAUUCAUGGUGUAGCAGUGAAAUGCGUAGAGAUCAUGAGGAAGACCAGUGGCGAAGGCGGGUCUCCUGGACAGUUCCUGACACUGAGACACGAAGGCCAGGGGAGCAAACGGG
rnacentral:rRNA from 1 species